rnacentral:lncRNA from 1 species
UGGGCUUGUUUGAUUACUCUCAUAUGCCUUUGCCAAGGAGUUUCAUUAGUAACAGCUGCUUUACAACCUCUCACAUUAUGGUCUUCUUGGCCACAAUUACCAUAAAGUACUGGUUUACUAGUCCUUGGUAUUCUGAAUGGAUUUUUUUCUUCAUCAGCACUUCUAAUCUUCUUUUGUUUGGAUCUGCCUGCUGGUUUCCUCAUUAUAGGGGGUAAAUGUCAGUACAUUC